rnacentral:rRNA from 1 species
CCUACGGGAGGCAACAGUGAGGAAUAUUGGUCAAUGGGCGUAAGCCUGAACCAGCCAAGUCGCGUGAGGGAUGAAGGUUCUAUGGAUCGUAAACCUCUUUUAUAAGGGAAUAAAGUGUGGGACGUGUCCUAUUUUGAAUGUACCUUAUGAAUAAGGAUCGGCUAACUCCGUGCCAGCAGCCGCGGUAAUACGGAGGAUCCGAGCGUUAUCCGGAUUUAUUGGGUUUAAAGGGUGCGUAGGCGGCCUUUUAAGUCAGCGGUGAAAGUCUGUGGCUCAACCAUAGAAUUGCCGUUGAAACUGGGUGGCUUGAGUACGUUUUAGGCAGGCGGAAGGCGUGGUGUAGCGGUGAAAUGCUUAGAUAUCACGCAGAACCCCGAUUGCGAAGGCAGCCUGCCAAGCCAUGACUGACGCUGAUGCACGAAAGCGUGGGGAUCAAACAGGAUUAGAUACCCCAGUAGUC